UUUAAUUGAAGAGUUUGAUCAUGGCUCAGAUUGAACGCUGGCGGCAGGCUUAACACAUGCAAGUCGAGCGGUAGCACAGGGGAGCUUGCUCCCCGGGUGACGAGCGGCGGACGGGUGAGUAAUGUCUGGGAAACUGCCUGAUGGAGGGGGAUAACUACUGGAAACGGUAG
rnacentral:rRNA from 1 species